rnacentral:rRNA from 1 species
GCGGUGGAUGAUGUGGAUUAAUUCGAUGCAACGCGAAGAACCUUACCUGGUCUUGACAUGUACGGAAUCCUCCAGAGACGGAGGAGUGCCUUCGGGAGCCGUAACACAGGUGCUGCAUGGCUGUCGUCAGCUCGUGUCGUGAGAUGUUGGGUUAAGUCCCGCAACGAGCGCAACCCUUGUCAUUAGUUGCCAUCAUUCAGUUGGGCACUCUAAUGAGACUGCCGGUGACAAGCCGGAGGAAGGUGGGGAUGACGUCAAGUCCUCAUGGCCCUUAUGACCAGGGCUUCACACGUCAUACAAUGGUCGGUACAGAGGGUAGCCAAGCCGCGAGGCGGAGCCAAUCUCACAAAACCGAUCGUAGUCCGGAUUGCACUCUGCAACUCGAGUGCAUGAAGUCGGAAUCGCUAGUAAUCGCAGGUCAGCAUACUGCGGUGAAUACGUUCCCGGGUCUUGUACACACCGCCCGUCACACCAUGGGAGUGGGGGAUACCAGAAGUAGGUAGGGUAACCGCAAGGAGUCCGCUUACCACGGUAUGCUUCAUGACUGGGGUGUCGUAACAAGGUAGCCGUAGGGAACCUGCGGCUGGAUCACCUCCUUUCUAGAG